AAAGUAGCAAUGCUCAAGAGGAAGGUAACUAGCCAUUGCUAGUGCAUGCACAUGCACACUCGUGGAUGUGUUCCAGACAUUUUUUUGACAGCCUUCCCUUUCACUAUGUCCUUUCUGAAAGUGGCUUCAACUGUACAAAAUUUUGUGCUUCAUGUACAUGCUAACUAGAAAAUCAUGUACAUAAAGGGACUGUAAUGGAAAGGAUAGGUUUUUAUACAUGUCAAUGGGAUUUUCAUUUAAAGA
rnacentral:misc_RNA from 1 species